UACAGAGGUCCCAAGCGUUGUUCGGAUUCAUUGGGCGUAAAGGGUGCGUAGGCGGUUUGGUAAGUCUCUUGUGAAAUCUAUGGGCUCAACUCAUAGUCUGCAAGGGAAACUGCCGGGCUUGAGUGUGGGAGAGGUGAGUGGAAUUUCCGGUGUAGCGGUGAAAUGCGUAGAUAUCGGAAGGAACACCUGUGGCGAAAGCGGCUCACUGGACCACAACUGACGCUGAUGCACGAAAGCUAGGGGAGCAAACAGG
rnacentral:rRNA from 1 species